UAUUAUAUUAUUAUUAUUAUUAUUACCCUCUCCAUUUGUAUAGUCCCGCAUAGAGCUGCUAACAUCAAAUUAUUAUUGUAGCUGUCAUCAGCUGGUUAUACAAUUAAUUUCAUAAUAGCAAUUUAAUAUAAGAAUCAUUUCUGUUAAGAACAAAGAGACAUGUAACUUAUUUUAUUGCGGAACUAAUAUUCUUGUGUUGCAGUGGGGUCUGGUCAAUAUCAGUGGCACUUUGUUAGCAUUAGAGGGAGAACACUUGACUGAUCGGACGGAGGACGAUGUCUGGAGAUCCGAUGCUGUUUAGAGAUGUUAUGAAGAUUUAUUAAGUAAAGAAAAUCAAGCCGGACGGUUCCUUUUACUCCAUCUGCAAGUUUAAAAGCUUCCAGCCUGCAAAGGGAUGGUUUUGGAUUGAUGAUGAAACAUUUACCCUCAUCAAGCUGAGUGCUGAAAAUACUCACCUGUUUAAUAUCACCUCCACAAGUGGUGGGACUGCCUGAAAUGAAAAUAUAAGUUGAAAUGACCCGCAUCUGGGACAGGGAGUGACAAGGGAGAGGCCAUCAGUGGGCGGCCAUCUAUUGAUCCUCCCAUUGUUACGGGUUCAACCUCAUCAAGCGUGGUUGCUGUGGCGUUUGCUGAACAUUACAAGGUUCUGAAGAGCUUGGAAAGAAGGAGUGUUUUUGGUUCUGCUAAUUGUUUGUUUUAUUCCUUUAAAAAAAAUCUUGAUGAUUUACGUUGGUUUAUGCUUUGUACCUUUUAAGCAAUUCAAGCAUGCAGUUCUUUUGGGGAAUUCAAGUCCAGACAUAAAAAACAAACAUGUUCGACACUUAAGAGGUAACAAGGAGCUGUGACAUGA